AGGAUUAACGCUGGCGGCGUGCAUGAAACAUGCAAGUCGAGCGCGGUGUGAUGCGGGGUAACCCAAUUCACAUCUAGCGGCGAACGGGUGAGUAACACGUGAGCAACCUACCUUUGAGUUGGGGAUAGCCCUGGGAAACCAGGAUUAAUACCCGAUGUGGUCACAACAGGACAUCCUGAUGUGAGUAAAGGCGUAAGCCGCUCAAUGACGGGCUCGCGGCCUAUUAGCUUGUUGGUGGGGUAACGGCCUACCAAGGCGAUGAUGGGUAGCUGGUCUGAGAGGACGAUCAGCCACACUGGGACUGAGACACGGCCCAGACUCCUACGGGAGGCAGCAGUUAGGAAUUUUCCGCAAUGGGCGAAAGCCUGACGGAGCAACGCCGCGUGAGUGAUGAAGACCUUCGGGUUGUAAAGCUCUGUCGGAGGGAAGAACACAAUGACGGUACCCUCCAAGAAAGCCCGGCUAACUACGUGCCAGCAGCCGC
rnacentral:rRNA from 1 species